GCCACAGUUGAUUCCGGGGAUGCAAACUGGAAUCUUUUUGCAGCAUGUGAGCCCGGCAGGAGAGGUAAGGCCCUGAAAAUACUGUGGCCCAGAAUUUGCCCACUCCUCCUACGGAAGCAUUUUGUUGAAAACCUAGGAAUGGACUCGGAAAUGGACAGCUCACCGCCAGUCCCUUCCGCGCAAGGUAAAACUAAAAACCCUGGACAUAAUAUGUAAGGCAAACACAGGAAGACUCUGAAAGGUGGAGAGAAGAUUGCUUGCUAGGAACAUCAAAACCCAAAGAACAACAUGGUCAUGUGUUGCUUGGAAUUCAUUUUUGCCUAAUAUAUCUGAGACCUGCAGCUGAAGAAGCCAGAAACAUGAAAACACCAACAUGCAUGGGCAAAAUAGCCUGAACGAAAGCUUGUUCUCUCUAGCUGAAGGCCAGGAAAACGGUGGCCUAGUCAGACAGAAAAUUUUUAGACAAGAAGUGCUCUAUUCCAGCCUAACCCCAAGGAAAAAGCUGUUGCUCCACUCCCAUCCAUGCCAAUGAAGGCCACGUGGGGAGCCUACACUUCCACCCUCAUGAGACAGUAAUGAGAUGCUCCAACCCCCUCACCAGAGUGGUAUCAAAGAAAGCCAAGUAGGGAGUGAGGACAUUCAUCCAACUGGCCAAUAACAUGAUCUCCUCCUCCCUGCAGUGUGAGUAAAAACCACACAAGGAGCCAGAACUUCUACCCCCAUCAAGCAGUAAUGAGGCACCCUCCUCACCCCACUGAGGUAGUGUUAGAGGAGGCCUACUAAAGAAUCAAGACUUUCACCAUCACCCAGCAAUAAUGAGGCCACCCCCACCACCGUGUCAAUGGAGACCAUGUGGGGAGCCAGAAUUCCCACCCUCACCCAGCAGUAAUAAGGAGUCCCUCCCAUUCAAGUGUCAGCAAGGCCAAUUGGAGAACCUAGACUUCCAUUCCACCUGAUAUUAACAAGGUGGCACCUCCCUCCUUCCACUACUAGAGUGGUGUCAGAGAAGUGCAAUCAAAAGGGAAGGUUUAAAUAAGAUUUAGAGUCUCAUAACAUAAUAUGAAAAUGUCCAGAUUUCAAUGUCCAGAGAACAAACAUAAAAAUCACACGUCACACUAACAACCAGAAGGUCUCUACUGAGUGAAAAAAAGUAAUAGAUGCCAACAACAGAUGAUAGAGGUGCUAGAAUUACCUAACAAAGAUUUUAAAGCAGCCAUUAUAAACAUAUUUCAAUGAGUAAUUACAAACAGGCUUGAAAAAAUGAAAAAAAAAAGCUUUAGCAAAGAAAAAGAAUGUCUCAACAAAUAAAUGAAAGAUAUAAAGAACCAAACUGAAAUUUAGAACUGAGAGAUAAUAGUAACUGAAAUUUUAAAAGGCUCAGUGAAUAAGUUCAACAGCAGAAUGGAGGAAAUAGAGGAAAGAAAUGAUGAACAGAAAGAGCAAACAAUGCAAAUUACUCAAUCUGAACAACACAGAGGAAAAAAGACUUGAAAAAAGUGAACAUGCUUCAGGAACCUUUGGAAGUAUUUUUUAAAUGUAAUAUUUGUGCCAUUGAAGCCCUGGAAGGAGAGAAAAAUGAGGGCAGGGAUGAAAAAGUACUUAAAGAACUAAUGGCUGAAAACUUCCCACAUUUAGCAAGAAACACAAAACUACAAAUUCGUGAAGCUGACUGAACCCCAAACAAGAUAAUAAAAUAAUACACAGGAAGACAUACCAUAAUUAAAAUUAUGAAAACUAAAGACAAAGUGUUGAAAGCAGCCAUGACACCUUAUAUGUAGGGGAAAGCAAUUUGAAUAACAGUGAGUUUCUCCCUGGAAAAACCAUGGAGGCCAGAAAGAAGUAGCACAGUAUCUUUCAAGUGAAAAGAAUUGUCAACCCAGAACUUUACACCCAAUGAAAUUAUCCUUCAGGAAUUAAGGAGAAAGCAGUACAUUCUCAGAUAAAGGAAAAUUAUGAUAGUUUUUCAAAAGUAGACCUACCCUAAAAUAAUAGCUUUAAAAAAGCUCUCUAAACACAA
ensembl:lncRNA novel transcript, antisense to SLC4A10